rnacentral:rRNA from 1 species
GACGAACGCUGGCGGCGUGCUUAACACAUGCAAGUCGAACGGAAAGGCCCUGCUUUUGUGGGGUGCUCGAGUGGCGAACGGGUGAGUAACACGUGAGUAACCUGCCCUUUACUUUGGGAUAACUUCAGGAAACUGGGGCUAAUACCGGAUAGGAGCUCCUGCUGCAUGGUGGGGGUUGGAAAGUUUCGGCGGUUGGGGAUGGACUCGCGGCUUAUCAGCUUGUUGGUGGGGUAGUGGCUUACCAAGGCUUUGACGGGUAGCCGGCCUGAGAGGGUGAACGGCCACAUUGGGACUGAGAUACGGCCCAGACUCCUACGGGAGGCAGCAGUGGGGAAUAUUGCACAAUGGGCGGAAGCCUGAUGCAGCAACGCCGCGUGCGGGAUGACGGCCUUCGGGUUGUAAACCGCUUUCGCCUGUGACGAAGCGUGAGUGACGGUAAUGGGUAAAGAAGCACCGGCUAACUACGUG